CACGAUGCAUUUUCAAAAUUCCCCCAUUAAACUUAAUGUCUUUUCCAAUAGCUUUCCAUCUUCCCUUGGUACAUUAAAUGGCGUGAGCCAUUUAGCCUCCUCCAUGCAUAUUGAUGUUUUUUCUGUUUCCAACGUCCACUAUCAAGCACUUAACCAUCUGUAAAUAUGUGGUUUCUAAACAAGCAACAAUUACAAAGCACCUCUUCAAUUUCCCAGUCAAGACUUAGAAUAACCGAAUAAGCAAUCAAUGUACCGGACAUUUUCUCUUUCAUGUGUUAUAUAACAUGUACAUUUCCAAUUAAGCAAACCCUUCUCUCUUCUUCUACUUCCAAGUCUGCCAACCUCUCC
rnacentral:lncRNA from 1 species